rnacentral:rRNA from 1 species
UGGCGGACGGGUGAGUAAUGUCUGGGAAACUGCCUGAUGAGGGGAUAACUACUGGAAACGGUAGCUAAUACCGCAUAACGUCGCAAGUACCAAAGAGGGGGACCUUCGGGCCUCUUGCCAUCGGAUGUGCCCAGAUGGGAUUAGCUAGUAGGUGGGGUAACGGCUCACCUAGGCGACGAUCCCUAGCUGGUCUGAGAGGAUGACCAGCCACACUGGAACUGAGACACGGUCCAG